AGACAAGGAUGUUGUGUGGGACCGUGUCAAACAGUUUGCACAAGUCCAGCUAGAUGACAUCAGUUGUUCUUUCCUUAUCCACCAUUGCAGUCACUCCAUUGUAGAAGGCCUCCAGAUAGUCGGGCACUAUUUGUCCUUUGUGAAGGACUGUCUCUGAUUGCCUCCCUGCCACCCACAUGCCUUGACAUAGCUUCCAGGAGGAUCUGUUCUAUGAUUGUACUGGACGUAGAGGUGAAGCUGAUCAGUCUGUAGAUUCCAGGGUCCUCCUUUCUGUCCUUUUUAAAAAUGGGUGUGAAGUUUUUCCUUUUUCCAGGCACUGUGGGCCUGACCGCCUGGGAAUGGCUUAGCAGCUACAUUUGCCAGUACAUGCCAGAUAUAUCUAUUUGUAUUUUGUCUGGAGAGACUAAAUUUUAAGUAUUUCAUCUUUUCUCAUCUUUGAUACAUGUUCCUAGGAGAAUGUCAGCACAGUUAAAAAGAAGUGGUUGCCAUCUGAGGUCUCCAUGGCCUUGAGAAGCCUACAGGGCUACACUACACACUAUAUUAUAUUAAAUUAAACACUUCAUCCCAGACAUAUGAUGAUACUAGCAGCAAGAAAUAAUUGUGUUUUUUUUAGUCUGAAAACCUUGGGAACCCUAUGCCAUGAAUUUCAAAGGAGCUUAGCGUGCUAUCUUUUCCAUCAGACAUCCAGCAGACCCAGGAGACAUUUUACACAGAAAUUUGAAAGUGCAUCUGCAACAAUGACUCUGUCAGUCAGGGGCCAGAAUGGUGAUGUAGCAGUCUCUAAAUACCUGUGUCUUUUAAAUCACACUGAAAUCCAGAGCGUCACAAUCUCCUCAUGUCAGUUAUGUCUGUCCCUUAUCUCAGUCACUGUAGUUUAUUUGAUCAAGCCCUCAGGAAUGAGUUGUGUGUAUUAAAAAUACAAGCUUUCUCAGUUUUUUGAAUCAGUUUUAUUUGCUCAGUGCUGGUACUUUAGGACAUUGUGUACACUAUGCUUUAGAAGUGGCCAUUUAUGUAUUUAGCUUAUAAAUAAGUUGUUGGCAAGCUAAUUCUCCUCAGAAAACUAUUUUAGUUGUAGAACCAAGUGUUCAUAAGAAUUUUCUGCCAUUUCCUUUAAAUCCAAGUACAUGGAAAAGUAUUGAAGAUUUUGUGAUGAGUUUUACUAGGUGGUAAAAAUUUCAGCCUCAGAAAAAAAACGAGGUCUUAAUUCCCUGAAGUCAGAUGUGGGCAGCACCUAUUAGUUGGCUGCACCUUGCUCUAACAUCACGGAUUUCUUAUCUCUGCAAAUCUGAAGGACUUUUCAGUUACUGAUAGUGUCUCCUCAGGCCAUCUAUUUUUCUCAUUAGAAGUGCAUCUGCAGCAGCACUGAAUGGACCAAAUAAAAAAGCUGAGGCAGAGCGGGGCUUCCACCUCUAUACCUAUGCAACCCUAAUGAGCUGUGUGACUUGCAGCAGAGGGGAGCCAGAGGGCCAGAGGCUGACAGAGAGCCUGAGAAGAGCCUCUUGUUUCAGACAAGAAGUGAUGGUUUGUGCCUAUGCCAUACGGUUCAGAACAUCUGCAAUAGUGCUGGCCCUGGAAGAUAAUGAGCCUGGUUAUUAUGGGGACUCAAAUGAUAAAUUUUCCAGUGAUAAAUUUUUAUUGCUGGCCUAAAAUCAAACCCCUUUUUAUACAGGAUAUGGGUGCCUGGGUCAUGUCAAGGACAUAAAUGGUUUUGUGGCCUUAAAAUGAAGCAUCGCAACAGUGACUUGCUACUAAGACAACUGAGAUGAUGAGUGAAUCCCGUAAAGAAGAAAAAAAAAGAGCCCUUAGAGCAACAGCAGGAUGAAGCAUCAGCCUGAAGUUUGGCUGUGCUGUCAAAAGCAGGAUCUGGCCUACUGAAAAAGUUUUGACAUAACAGAAUGGGAAGAUAAAUACCGAUAGUAAUGACUCCCCAGCAAUCCCAUUAUUCCUUUGAAGUACAUUGUAAAAAUUCCAGUGUGUGGCUUCAGUGGAAAAUUGACAAAACUAUGAAUCCUUCAAAAUGUUGAGAAACUGCAGCAUCUAUUAUCUGAGACAGCCAGCCAGAAUUAUUCAGGCCCUUGUGCUGGCAUACAAAUGUCAUAGAUGACUGAAACUGUAAGCGUCCCAGCCUUCGUUAGAACAAUUAGGUCAGUGAGGGCCACCUCCCCUUCCCCCCUGGCAGCAGUGGGCGCCAAAAUUCCCUGGGCUCCUGCCUUGAUGUCUGGAUCUCCCAUUGUAGCUCAUUGAAUUGGGGUUUUCAGUCUGGAUUGUGACUUUGGGUGCCCGUUGCCCAUGGAUCAGCAGUUGCACACCCAUUUCCUGACCUUUUACAACCACCCCCUUCUAAAUGGGCAAUACCAGUUCACCUGUAACGUAAGAUAAAUGGUUUUGCAAUCACCAAAGAGGUUUUCAUAUGCUGAUCCUCACUAGAGCUACCUAAAACUGGCCAGAGAAACUUGUGGGAGGGAGUAGCAAAGAAAGUAUCAAGCCUUGUAACUGGCCUUUGCAGGGAGGAGAGAAGGGCCAUUCUUGGAGCAUUUUUCUUCAGGGGAUUUCAGUAUGGGUAACCACACAUGAUACCACCACUGGGCUGUGACCAGCUUCCUCUGCCAACAGAGUGAUCUGGUGCUGCACAGAAGAGCUCUGUUUGGUCAAGUUGCCAGUUUUCUCCUACAGUUCCAGGUUAUCUUGAGCAAAAUAACUGCCUACUCUCCACAUGGUUGAAAAGGACUCCUGUCUCUUUUGCACCAAGGUCCCUCCCAAAGCUGCUUCCCUGACUGAAGAGAGAGGCAGGACAGCCUCCAGCCUUUGUGUCUGUACAAAUACAGAACCCUGAGAUGGAGCCAUCAAGUAACAUUUUGGAAGCCAGACCUUGCCACAGCCUGUUACAGGUAGAUAAACACAACACCACAGUGUUUAUCAUGCUCUGGCUAUUCUGAAAAUUGCUUUAAUGUCAUGGAGAUUGUUUUGCUGAGAAACUGCUUGGAGCUAUGUUUCUUCAGGGAGCUUUCACACAAAGAUGUGGGUGAGGAUUUGUUCUGUGUUGCUAGGUACAGGGUUUGGGACACAUGGAGAAGCUAAAGGGGCUUUAGCUCACUUCUUGAAUGGGUUGAGGGGCAAAGAAACCUUUCAAUAAGCUGUGUACUGCAGAUGUGACCAUGUGACACUCCGGAAAACUCUGUGAUACAGCAUCUCCAUUGUGUUGUACUGGCCAUUCCUGCUUUGUACAGCAGCUGUGACAUUGGAACCACCUUCAUUGUCACUUGGGGCUCCUAAAGUCCCUUUCCCAUUGCCUGCAAGAUCAGAAGAGAGAUCCAUUACAUAAGGUGACAAAGCUAUCAUUUUGAUAUGAUCUUAAGAAUGCCAGCUGGAUUACCAGCAUUAGAAAAGUAAAAAUCUUAAGAAUAAAGUUAGCUAAUACUAAAGGAACGCAUCUGCCAUGAUUCCCAUAUGAAUUCUCUUGUGACCUUUAUAGUUGCUUUUUGACAUCCACACCUGCCUGCAUAGAGGCCUUUGACAGGAAAGACUUUCCCCUUCCUUUCUGCCUGUCGUUUUUUGUCAUGCUUGUAAUCCCUCUCCAUCCACCUGUUCUCCUUGGCUGUUGCCAAUUAACCUUCAGUGUUGCACGCAGGGGUUCUGGGCAAUUCAGAUGCAGAGUGAGUGGUAUUUUGUAAAAAGACAUUUUUACCCCCUAUAAAAGCAGAAAUUAGAGAAAAAAUAAAAUGACCCCCCUUCUGGAUAGUCUCUGAAGCCCAAUGGGGGUGUUACUGGAAACAUUUUCAAAAUUAAAGCUGAACUAAUUUCAAAACAAUUAAGUAUUGUUUUCAAGCCUAGGGCUGCUGCAGUCAGAGCUCUGAAGUGCAAACAACAGGAGCAAAUGCAUUCAGUUUUCAUUCUUGGUGAGAGCAGCAGCAGAGAGAAGCAGCAUUUCAUGAGUCAUAGAAAGAAAGCACAUGGAAUGCCAGGAUGCUAUUAGUUACAUUUGAGUUUGAAAGUAUACACCAAAAGUUGACAAGCUCAUUUGAGAAGCAUCAUUCAGUUCAAUGAAAUGGCAAGGUUUUAAUCUAAUGCCUGGUGGUGGCAUUAUCCACCAUCUAUCUCUACCACACCUAUGCUCACUUCAUAUAGAAAAAAAUACAUCUUUUAUUCUGCAAAACCUCUACUGCUUUUGAGAACAAUGCAUCCUCUGUGCCCCAAGCACCAAAAUUAAUUUGGAGGUGAAAGAAGCUUAUCAUGCACUCCUGACCCAGGCUGUCUGCAGAGCACCAAUGCUGUCCUUGAUGGUGCAUCCCAACAGGGUCACCUUCAGUUCUGUUUGUACAAGCCACACAGCCCGGAGAGUUGAGCUGGGAGUGUGGUUUCCACUGCUGCUACCUUUUCAUAGACCCUGUUUGAAAGCCCUGGCCCAGGGUAUAGUCCUGUUGCUGUUUAUCAGUGAGCUCUGGGGUUCUUUUUCCUGCUGCUGUUGCUUACCUGCAACAGUCAUUUCCACCCGUUAUGCAGUGAGUAGUUUUCUUUGCUGUACUUAGUUAUUUUAGAUUGUCCUUCUCUCCUGUAAUGAAUUAUUUUCAAGGGGGAGGGAGGAGGACAUAAAAAUACCCUGUAUAAUGAAAAUACAACACUUUUAUACCUUUUCGGGACACAUCCUCAAACCCUAUUACCAGGCAUUAUACAUUUGCCAUGCUUGGAGUUUCAAAGUUGUUGUUUUUGAGAUGUCACCAUGGAGAAUAAAAGCAGGAAAACUACUGCCAA